rnacentral:lncRNA from 1 species
GGCGGGGCGCAGUUCUUGCGGGAGGAGCGGGGCGGUGCGCUCCUGGCCACGCAGGCUGGAAACUGUAGCUCUUAACGGUUCCCCGCCCGUUGGUGGCAAGGCGGCUGGACUAGAAUCCUAGCAGGCGAUAUGCGAGAAGGCGGGCAGCCCAAGAGGGUUGGGCAGGGCAGUGUGGAUCUCGCCGCUUCCACAGCGAUGCUGGCUACUGAUUUCGGACACCUCCUUGCCAUGGGAUGGAAAUUAAUGUUAUGACUGGAUAAGACAAUUGUGAAGAAACUGCACUUCGAGGUUGUCUGUCUCCGUAUUCCGAUGGAAAAGGCUGGACUUUAGAAGCAUUGCUCGCUCCUUCAGUUUCUAACAAGAGUUUUACAGUUUCUGAUUAAAUACCAAUGGGAUAUCACCUCCCAUCUCUUAGGAUGGCUGUUAUAAAAAGGACAAGAGAUAACAAGUGUUGGUGAUGGUGUGGAGAGAAGGGAACCUUUGUACACUGCUGGUUAAAAUGUAAGUUAGUACAGCCAUUAUGGAAAACAGUAUGAAAGUUCCUGAGAAUCUAAAAAUAGAACUACCAUAUGGCUCAGCAAUCCCUCCUAUGAAUUAUAUAUCAACAGGAAAUGAAAUCAGCAUCUGAUAGAGAUAUCUUCACUCCCCUCUUCUCCGUGCCCCACCACAGCAUUGCUCCCAACAGCCAAGCCAUGGGAUGAAGUUACUGUGCAUUGAUGGAUGAGUGGAGAAAAGAAAAUGUGGGGGAGGUGUUUGUGCAUGUAUGUGUGUGUGUGUAUAAUAUAUAAUAAUAUAAUAUUUUUCAGCUUUUAAGAAGUUGAAGAUACUGCCAUUUGUGAUAACAUAAAUGAAUCUGGAGGAUAUUAAGCUAAGUAAAAUAACUUAGGGAGAGAGAAAAAUACUGCAUAAUUUCUGUUACAUAUGAAAUCUUUAAAAAGGUUUAAUACAUAGAGACAUGAUAGAGUGAUGAUUUGGGGGAUAAGAGACACAAGUCAACGUUUCAGUUAUAUAAAAUAAAUGAAUCUAGAGGACUAAAGUACAAUUUAAAGGUUAUAGUUACUAUUUUUAUAUUAUAUACUAGUGAUUUUUGAACAGGGUAAACUUUAGGUGCUUUGACACCAAAAGGAAACUACAUGAGUUCAUGUAUAUGUUAAAUUGUUUGACCGCAGUCAUCAUUGAUAUGUAUAUGUAUAUAUAUAUAAUUAUGGGCUCAUUAAAUUUAAAUGCUAUAAAUAGGUAACAAAGAAUAAAGUUAAUUGAAAAACUGCA